CUUUUCCACGUAAGACCCCAACAGUGAGAUCUCGGCAGUUUCUGUAUGCAUCGUACAUGUGAGCUCACGGUUAACACAUGCUGAGGCAGGGUCUGAUGUGUCAGAGGAGGUCUUCUGGGUAGCUGGAGAGUGCUUCAGCUUAUUUACAGCUCUGCUAACAAGUGCUUCCCCAGCAGAGGACCCAGCUACUGAUCCAACCCUGCCAGAUAAUGAGCCUGUCCUUGCCAUUUGAGUUCAUGUAAAUAAAGGACAACUAACUCACCAACUGGUGUCCCAGGCCAUGCAGUAAGAGGCACUGCAUUGAGCUAUGUGGCACAAACCAGAAGCAGAUCACUUGCAGAGCACCAGACAAGAAUCUGCAGGUCUUCUUCACUGGAAGGUCCAUAAUGUAAAGACUCAGAAUGAGUUCACAAUUAAAAAAGAUUUGGAUGCAUUCAAAUUUUGCAUGUUGAAUGCUUAAAUAUUUUGAAUAUGAAUGUUUUGAAUGUUGAAAUAUUUUUAUUAGACUAUGAAAUAAAAAUGUUCUGUUUUGGCAGUGCCAAAAUAGAACUUCCAGCCUUACCCAAAUGGGUGUUUACAUUUUUUUCCUAUGAAAUGUCACUGAAAUCAUCCUGUUUCCUGGGGAUUCUGGGUUUCAACACAACUGUGUUUUCCCAUGCACACCAUUCUGUUAGAAAAUUUUCAGCUCUUUCUAGCUAUGAUGUUAUUGACUAAUACAGAGUCAGUCCAUCUAUCUGCUGUACAAUUUUGCUCUAAGAAAUUCCCUCAAAAACAGCAUUUUAAUAAAAGCUGCACCGAUGCAUGUAUAUUUGAAAUCUGGUUAGAAGCAUCUUACCUGCAGUGUGCUAUAUUCUGAAAGAGCAUUAUCAUUACA